GAUGAACGCUAGCGGGAGGCCUAACACAUGCAAGCCGAGCGGUAUUAUUUCUUCGGAAAUGAGAGAGCGGCGUACGGGUGCGGAACACGUGUGCAACCUGCCUUUAUCUGGGGGAUAGCCUUUCGAAAAGAAGAUUAAUACUCCAUAAUAUAUUGAACGGCAUCGUUUAAUAUUGAAGGCUCCGGCGGAUAGAGAUGGGCACGCGCAAGAUUAGCUAGUUGGUGAGGUAACGGCUCACCAAGGCGAUGAUCUUUAGGGGGCCUGAGAGGGUGAUCCCCCACACUGGUACUGAGACACGGACCAGACUCCUACGGGAGGCAGCAGUGAGGAAUAUUGGUCAAUGGGUGCAAGCCUGAACCAGCCAUCCCGCGUGAAGGACGACUGCCCUAUGGGUUGUAAACUUCUUUUGUAUAGGGAUAAACCUACUCUCGUGAGGGUAGCUGAAGGUACUAUACGAAUAAGCACCGGCUAACUCCGUGCCAGCCGCCGCCGUAACAC
rnacentral:rRNA from 1 species